rnacentral:rRNA from 1 species
CCUACGGGCGGCUGCAGUGGGGAAUAUUGGACAAUGGGCGAAAGCCUGAUCCAGCCAUGCCGCGUGUGUGAAGAAGGCCUUCGGGUUGUAAAGCACUUUCAGUGGGGAAGAAAGCCUUGGGGCUAAUACCCUCGAGGAAGGACAUCACCCACAGAAGAAGCACCGGCUAACUCCGUGCCAGCAGCCGCGGUAAUACGGAGGGUGCGAGCGUUAAUCGGAAUUACUGGGCGUAAAGCGCGCGUAGGCGGUCUGAUAAGCCGGUUGUGAAAGCCCCGGGCUCAACCUGGGAACGGCAUCCGGAACUGUCAGGCUAGAGUGCAGGAGAGGAAGGUAGAAUUCCCGGUGUAGCGGUGAAAUGCGUAGAGAUCGGGAGGAAUACCAGUGGCGAAGGCGGUCUUCUGGACUGACACUGACGCUGAGGUGCGAAAGCGUGGGUAGCAAACAGGAUUAGAUACCCUGGUAGUC